UACGUAGGGACCAAGCGUUGUUCGGAUUUACUGGGCGUAAAGGGCGCGUAGGCGGCAUGACAAGUCACUUGUGAAAUCUCCGGGCUUAACUCGGAACGGCCAAGUGAUACUGUCACGCUAGAGUAUUGGAGGGGCAAUCGGAAUUCUUGGUGUAGCGGUGAAAUGCGUAGAUAUCAAGAGGAACACCUGAGGUGAAGACGGGUUGCUGGCCAAAUAUUGACACUGAGGCUCGAAAGCGUGGGGAUCAAACAGG
rnacentral:rRNA from 1 species